rnacentral:misc_RNA from 1 species
AAUUCUCAAGACAAGUCUUUUGUUAAUUCAUUGGGCUCUUGUCUUGGACUUGGAGGUCUGCAGAUGUCACGUCUGCUCCUCUUAAAUGAAUUAGCUGGAUCUCCAUGAAUUUGGUUCCACUCGGCGUGAUAAGUAUCACUCGCUGAGGACACCCGUUAAAAGGUGGCCAAGCUCGAGGAUGAGCCGCUUCUAACAGUCCAUUCAAUUGGACAAUUUUUUAUG